CAUCAGAUUGAGACCCAGACCAACGCUGCCUUCGACCCGUUUGGGCAGCGGCGGAGAUCCGAUCGCAUCUCCUUUUACCGGCCUCUCCUGGACGUCAGACCGGUGCCGUUCGACUUCUCUCGGCGGUUAGAAGAGGAGCCUGGUCGUCUAUGCUCCGGAAAUCCAUCGACGGCUGCAGGAGGAAGCCCGAAAUAUUUCUGGAUUUCCUAUCGGGUUUUCUGAUUCUGACCAAUUCGUGGCGUCUGACCAGUAUGGAUGGCUUCAUCUCGUUGUCCUCUUCAUGAAUGUGGUCUCAGUUUCUUCAGAGAAGCUUCCUAGAGAGAGAAACGAAUGAAAGAAGGUCUUAAGUUUUCCGGCCAUAUUCUGUGUUUUCCGGCUACCUUCGAUUCCAACUCAGGUAUCAAACUUGUUUCCCUUGUCGAGUUCUACCUCGCUAUAUGCUUGAAUUUGAAUUUGAAUUUGGUUGAGUUUAGAAGAAAUUGAGUUUUGGGCAGAGGUUUGGCCACCGUCUGUUUACUGUUCAUGGCGGCGAUUUUGGUCUUUCUUUGGCCAAUUCCGACCAUGACGCCAAACCUUGAGUAUGAAUUGAUCAUUUGAUAUUCUGUUAUGCUUGAAUUCUUGAAAAUGAAGAGUUGGGUGGAAUUGCAGAUUAAGGCCAUUGAAUUUUCGAGAUUGUGAAGUUCAUAUUGAUUGCUAAAGUUACCGGAGUUCAUUGUAUUAGCUACUGUGAUUAUGUUUGAAUUCAAGAGAUUGGAGUGAUGGAUGAAAACCCAGAAUUGGUUAUCAAGUGUUGGGGUUGGCAGGUACUGUGAUUUAUGAAGCAUAUGUUGAUGAGAAAUUGAAUUCGCCUCAAGAAUUGGGUCGAGAGUGCAAUCAGUGCAUAGAGGAUUUGAGUAACGAAGUUUUGGGUGUCCAGAAUAAUUGGAUGAAAGGACCGGGGGACAAUUUGAGGACUUGCAUCGAAUGAGGAAAAUUACAUCGAUGGUUAUUUGGAGUUAUUUGGGUGUCCUUAGUAAAUUUGAGAACUAGCUCGAUUUCUAUUUCUGAAUAACUGAUUGAGUUAAAUUGGUACUUCGCCGACCGUCAUUGAUUAAGAGUGGAUACGAGGAUUGGAUGAUUAUCGACAAUCCCAUAAGCAAAAAGAUACUGAUUUCAGAAUGUGAGUCGCGGUGUUACUAGUUUUCAGCAAUGUUGGAUUUGAAGCUUGGAUUUCCAGUUAAGUUUGGUGUCAUGAGGCGUUCAGGAUCGAUGAUUAGCCCCAAGUGCACAUUGAGGGAAAGUAUGCCCUUUCAACAAAAGAGUGUUGAUAAAACAAUCUUAUUGGGUUUCGGGUCUGAAGAUCAUGAGCAAAUAAGAUGACUAACAAAAGGGAUAUGUGGAUUGAAACCUUCUGGGUUGUGAUGAGUUGUUAGAUCAUAUAUUUGAAACAUCUAGGGCUGGGUUUUGCAGCAGUUAUUCUGGUGCCAUUCUUAAUUUUAGCAAUGAAAAAGUCCUAGAGUUAUGCUUAUUGCUGUUUCAUAGAUGAAGUUUUAGAGAGGAUAUCAUGCCUGAAAAAUUGAAGAGCAGUACAUCGUAGGACUUGCCAUUGUUGCCUGCACUGUAUUUCGAUCUUUGUCAUUUCUGUACGUGUGUGUGAAUUUUCUGAUUUUGCUACUAUCUGUAGAUUUCAUAUGUCAACAUUGUUACCAUGUUUGAUCUAGUAAAUAAAAAGUGAUGAGCAAGAGUUGGUUGCCUAUCACUAUAUUUCUA